rnacentral:rRNA from 1 species
UGGGGAAUAUUGCACAAUGGGCGCAAGCCUGAUGCAGCCAUGCCGCGUGUAUGAAGAAGGCCUUCGGGUUGUAAAGUACUUUCAGCGGGGAGGAAGGCGAUAAGGUUAAUAACCUUGUCGAUUGACGUUACCCGCAGAAGAAGCACCGGCUAACUCCGUGCCAGCAGCCGCGGUAAUACGGAGGGUGCAAGCGUUAAUCGGAAUUACUGGGCGUAAAGCGCGCGCAGGCGGUCUGUCAAGUCGGAUGUGAAAUCCCCGGGCUCAACCUGGGAACUGCAUUCGAAACUGGCAGGCUAGAGUCUUGUAGAGGGGGGUAGAAUUCCAGGUGUAGCGGUGAAAUGCGUAGAGAUCUGGAGGAAUACCGGUGGCGAAGGCGGCCCCCUGGACAAAGACUGACGCUCAGGUGCGAAAGCGUGGGGAGCAAACA